UACAGAGGGUGCGAGCGUUAAUCGGAAUUACUGGGCGUAAAGCGUGCGCAGGCGGCGGCUCAAGUCAGGUGUGAAAUCCCCGGGCUUAACCUGGGAAUUGCGCUUGAAACUAGGUUGCUAGAGUGUGGCAGAGGGGGGUGGAAUUCCACGUGUAGCAGUGAAAUGCGUAGAGAUGUGGAGGAACACCGAUGGCGAAGGCAGCCCCCUGGGUCAACACUGACGCUCAUGCACGAAAGCGUGGGGAGCAAACAGG
rnacentral:rRNA from 1 species